AUUGAACGCUGGCGGCAGGCCUAACACAUGCAAGUCGAACGAGUGGCGGACGGGUGAGUAAUGUCUGGGAAACUGCCUGAUGGCGGGGGAUAACUACUGGAAACGGUAGCUAAUACCGCAUACCAUCGGAUUUGCCCAGAUGGGAUUAGCUAGUAGGUGGGGUAAAGGCUCACCUAGGCGACGAUCCCUAGCGGGUCUGAGAGGAUGACCAGCCAAACUGGAACGGAGCAACGGUCCAGACUCCUACGGGAGGCAGCAGGGGGGAAUAUUGCACAAUGGGCGCAAGCCUGAUACAGCCAUGCCGCGUGUAUGAAGAAGGCCUUCGGGUUGUAAAGUACUUUCAGCGGGGAGGCGUUACCCGCAGAAGAAGCACCGGCUAACUCCGUGCCAGCCGCCGCGGUAAUAC
rnacentral:rRNA from 1 species